rnacentral:rRNA from 1 species
CAGCCGCCACGGUAAUACGUAGGGGGCAAGCGUUGUCCGGAAUCAUUGGGCGUAAAGCGCGUGUAGGCGGCUCGAUAAGUCUGCCGUGAAAGUCCAGGGCUCAACCCUGGAAUGCCGGUGGAAACUGUCGAGCUCGAGUCCGGAAGAGGCAAGUGGGAUUCCUGGUGUAGCGGUGAAAUGCGCAGAUAUCAGGAGGAACACCAAUGGCGAAGGCAGCUUGCUGGGACGGUACUGACGCUGAGACGCGAAAGCGUGGGGAGCAAACAGGAUUAGAUACCCCAGUAGUCCCUGUCUCUUAUAC